rnacentral:tRNA from 2 species
CCCUGGUUAGCUCAGUUGGUAGAGCGCUCCACUUGUAAUGGAGAGGUCCCGGGUUCGAUACCCGGACCAGGUA